rnacentral:rRNA from 1 species
UACGAAGGGGGCUAGCUUUGCUCGGAAUUACUGGGCGUAAAGGGUGCGUAGGCGGAUAGUUUAGUCAGAGGUGAAAGCCCAGGGCUCAACCUUGGAAUUGCCUUUGAUACUGGCUAUCUUGAGUACGGAAGAGGUAUGUGGAACUCCGAGUGUAGAGGUGAAAUUCGUAGAUAUUCGGAAGAACACCAGUGGCGAAGGCGACAUACUGGUCCGUUACUGACGCUGAGGCUCGAAAGCGUGGGGAGCAAACAGG